UAUUUUCUCGUUGACUUACGAGUCCUUUACGACGAUUUUUACUUACGUGGAAUUAACGAGUGUUAUGUUUAAAUUCCUAAAAUCCGAAACCCCAAACCCCAUAUUCCUUAUUUUCUACUUCAUAUAUUACAAACCCCAUCUUUAUUUCCACUCCAAACCACAAUUACCACAUUUGCUUAUUCAUAAAACAAACUCCCACAUUACCUUAUUCAU
rnacentral:lncRNA from 1 species